AGGUAUUGAAGAUAUCACCUAUAAUAUACCGUGUCUUUUCUUUUGGUUGAAACUAUGUCUUGUGAUUACUUUUGAUAUGUUUUUUUUCCCCUUUCAACUGUCUUUACAUGAUUCAAACUGCAAAUUGUCUGGUAGGCAGGCCUUAAUUUAGAAAUUUUUAAAAUUGGCUUAAUAUCUUUGUCAUUGUUUCAUUAACAGCAUAGUUUUCUGUCAUUUGAAUUCUUUAAUUUCUGAAAUAUUAGGCAGCAGAGGAUUUUAUUUCUUAUUUUUAAGGAAAUUGACAGCAUUAAAAUUUUAGUAUAUGAUGUCUCAACAUUUCUCUGUGUCCAUGUCAAACUCUUUGGGGCUUGCAUACGAUGUACGUGAAAGAUUCUGUGAACUUGUAGUGGCUUUUCUGGUGUUAUAAAUAUGGAUAACACAGGUUAUUUUCUAACAAAGAGAAAUAUGAUAAAACACAAGUGAGCAACCUUUGAGUUUAUUUACUUUUUAGUUUUUAUCAGUAAAAAGGAUAUAUGUAAGCUAUUAUGCAAGAAAUGUGAGUAUAUUAGGUCCAUCAUAAUGAAUUACCUGCAGUUUUAAAAGGAUAUAUGUAAGCUAUUAUGCAAGAAAUGUGAGUAUAUUAUGUCCAUCAUAAUGAAUUACCUGCAGUUUUAAAAGGAAUGGACCUGCGGUUUGAGAAUUCUAUCUUUCGCUCAUAGCUGCACCAUAAAUGGUUAAUACUUCUGCUGUGUUAAUGCCUUCGAUUGCUCUGGGGUCCAUGUUGGAUCCACAACUGUAGCGUAAAUGUUAAACCUCAUUUGUGGGCGUCCAUGGUUAUAGUGGACUCUUCUCUCACAUAUUUCCCUCCCAGGAUCCUCCCAAUAAGGAGAAAAAAGGAGCUCUCCUUUUGUCUUGAGAGGAUUAUUUGUUCAAUUAUGGGUUUGUACUGUUGCCGCAUUUGCAGG
rnacentral:lncRNA from 1 species